rnacentral:rRNA from 1 species
UACGGAGGGUGCAAGCGUUGUUCGGAAUCACUGGGCGUAAAGGGCGCGUAGGCGGCUCCAAAAGUCUGAUGUGAAAGCCCGGGGCUCAACCCCGGAAGUGCAUUGGAAACUGCGGAGCUUGAGUUCGGGAGAGGAAGGCAGAAUUCCCGGUGUAGGGUUGAAACCCGUAGAUAUCGGGAGGAAAACCGGUGGCGAAGGCGGCCUUCUGGAACGAAACUGACGCUGAGGCGCGAAAGCGUGGGGAG